CCUACGGGAGGCAGCAGUGGGGAAUUUUGGACAAUGGGCGCAAGCCUGAUCCAGCAAUGCCGCGUGAGUGAAGAAGGCCUUCGGGUUGUAAAGCUCUUUUGUCAGGGAAGAAACGGUGGUUCCUAAUACGGACUACUAAUGACGGUACCUGAAGAAUAAGCACCGGCUAACUACGUGCCAGCAGCCGCGGUAAUACGUAGGGUGCAAGCGUUAAUCGGAAUUACUGGGCGUAAAGCGUGCGCAGGCGGUUAUAUAAGUCAGAUGUGAAAUCCCCGGGCUCAACCUGGGAACUGCAUUUGAGACUGUAUGGCUAGAGUGUGUCAGAGGGGGGUAGAAUUCCACGUGUAGCAGUGAAAUGCGUAGAUAUGUGGAGGAAUACCGAUGGCGAAGGCAGCCCCCUGGGAUAACACUGACGCUCAUGCACGAAAGCGUGGGGAGCAAACACGGAUUAGAUACCCUGGUAGUCCACGCCCUAAACGAUGUCUACUAGUUGUCGGGACUUAAUUGUCUUGGUAACGCAGCUAACGCGUGAAGUAGACCGCCUGGGGAGUACGGUCGCAAGAUUAAAACUCAAAUGAAUUGACGG
rnacentral:rRNA from 1 species